UACGUAGGGGGGCAAGCGUUGUCCGGAAUCAUUGGGCGUAAAGCGCGUGUAGGCGGCUGAGUAAGUCUGCUCUGAAAGCCCGGGGCUCAACCCCCGGGAGGCGGGUGGAUACUGCUCAGCUCGAGUCCGGAAGAGGAGUGUGGAAUUCCUGGUGUAGCGGUGAAAUGCGCAGAUAUCGAGGAGGAACACCGGUCGGCGAAGGCGGGGUCUCGUGGGCCGAUACUGACGCUGGAGGAGCGAAAGCGUGGGGGAGCGAA
rnacentral:rRNA from 1 species